CGGCCCUGCGCAACAGGGGGGUGCAAACCCCGCCAGGUCCGGAAGGAAGCAACGGUAAGCACUACUCUCUGUGUGCCGCAGUG
rnacentral:SRP_RNA from 1 species